CUUACAGCAUAAGCGAUAUUUCAGCCCGUGAGGUAUUGCACAGUUGGAUCCAACAUCCUAAAAUGUUUGAGGAUACUGAAGCAGCUAACUCAUCAAAGCGAGUUACUAUGGCACGAUAUACAUUAGACAAAUCUUGGGAAUGGGACUCAGUGUUUUCUUAGCGUAGCCGGUGAUUCAGUUCUCCCCUAAGCCUGUUAGGGACACAUUCUCAUGUCCUUAAAUGUACAAGCAGAUAAUUGUUGGCGCUCUAUCUUUGUGUGAGGAGGCCAGGGUGUAAAUGGCUUUUAAUGACUGCAGCUGCUGGCUGAAAACUGUCAAUGGAAUUGGCUAAUUCAGAGCCCCCGAAUCUUGCGAGCUCUCUGCAUAUUGCCGCUGAAUCCGGACGAGCUGAACUAGUGAGUUACUGUCGAGGGGAAGAGAUACGAAGCCAUGAUCGCCAGCAGCAGGGAAAGCAAACAAGAGGACUGGGAAAGCAAACCCCUCUCGACUCGGAAAAUCCUUUCCGGAUCCUGCGCUGAUGUUUCCAGCCUGCCGUGUUUCGGGGGGACCUUCUGUGGGAGAGAAAGGAGAGCAGAUUUCAAGAUCCUCACCGAACUCAGCAUAGAUCUACAAGGAAAGAUCCUUCUUCUCUCUUGUCCUAACUGUGGUGAGCAGAGCUAGCGAGCAUUAGCUCACCAGUUUGUGGCCCGGUGCCUGCAGGAGGCUUUCUUCCCAGGAAGAGCCUGCCGGACCCAGGCUGUUGACGAGGGACGAGCUAAAAAUGUUGUUUCUUAACUCUGCACCCCAGAAGACAAGAGUUCAAACUUUUUCGAGGAUCCUCGGGAAGGCUUUUCUCCUCCGGCUCAGCCGCCCCAGUGGAAGAGAGGGCAGACAGGGAGCGGAGCGGCACGGCCCCCUGGGACGAGCAGUAACACUGGGCUCCAAACAGGAAGGCGAGAUACUUGCUAACAAACUUCGAUCCUGCUCUUUUCCUGACCAGAACCGGUUCGUUUUUAUUCCUUUCGUGGCUUGCACCCCCGAGCCUUGCCAGCUACAGUCGCGGAGGUAUGCGAAGACUUAUGCUCCGGGGUGGGGUGGGGGCUGAGCUAUGGACAUAAAUCGGAUUCCCCCCGCCAAAUACUUCGGGCUGGUGUUUCUCCCACUCUCACAGGAGACAAAAUAAAUCGGAGUCAGUUUCACGGUCCCUGAGAUUCAUCUACUCCAGAUUUACACCUGUGUAGCCUCAUUGACUUCAGUGAUAUCGCAGUAUUACUGCCAGUAGACUCGGGCCAAUAGCUCUGGGACUAGUUCCGUUGAGCAUUAUAUGACUCUAUUUUCUGUCACGGUAGCUCAACGCCACAUCAUGGGAGCAUAUUUCCUCAUCAGCUAGAUAAUUCACCAAUAGUGGAGACUGUGAAAACAUCUUUCCGCGGUAGCACAUUUAUACAUCGAGAGAAACCAUGUUUCCCCUUCCCUCUCUGAAGUUUGCAAAGCCACUACAGGAUGCAGUUAGCAUGUUUAACUAUGCAUCCCCAUAAACGCCCAAGUGAUAAAAAAGCCACAUUUUGUUUUUCAGCCUUGAGAGUGCAGCUUUUGUAGACCAAUGCACUCCAUAAAGUAGAUGUAUUUGUGUUAUUACUAACAUUUUUUCCUUGUGCAUAAUCCCUUAUGCCUUUUAUUAUAAUCCUACAUAUUACAGUUAAUCUGUAAUGAUACUGCUUCAGAGGGACCUGUUGCACACAGUGAUGGUAAUUUGUAACCUUGGUAACAGUUUUAAAUAAAGAUUAUAACAAUGAUGUCAACUGUAUUUAUUCACCAUACAGUAGGAGAGGUCUAAGGAUUACUACUAUGGAGGACCGAGUUUAAGAAGCAGUCGAGAGAUUCUAUGCUAUUAUAAUUUGAUGUAUCACUUUUUAGUUUGUCUUGAGAAAACACAGUCAUUGUUUUGAAUAGUGAAAAGAUUUGCAAACCGCUGAGAACUCUGUAAACUUUAAUUUUCUGAAUGACAGAUGUAUUAUUAUGAAUUAGGUUUAUCAGGGGCCAAGUACCCUUAGGUAGAACAUUUUACUCCGCCAGAGAAAUAUUCCAGAAUAAGUACUACUUAGAGACCCUGAUGAAUAAUGCUAACACGGAAUCUACCAUUAGCUUUCUGCAUGA